rnacentral:rRNA from 1 species
UACAGAGGGUGCGAGCGUUAAUCGGAAUUACUGGGCGUAAAGCGUGCGUAGACGGUAAUGUAAGUCGGGUGUGAAAGCCCCGGGCUCAACCUGGGAAUUGCAUUCGGGACUGCAAGGCUGGAGUGCGGCAGAGGAGACUGGAAUUCCUGGUGUAGCAGUGAAAUGCGUAGAUAUCAGGAGGAAUACCGAUGGCGAAGGCAGGUCUCUGGGCUGACACUGACGCUCAUGCACGAAAGCGUGGGGAGCAAACAGG